GCUUGCACUAGUGGAUUAGUGGCGGACGGGUGAGUAACGCGUGGGAAUCUGCCUGGUAGUGGGGGACAGCCCGGAGAAAUCCGGAUUAAUACCGCAUACCUUCUACGGAAGAAAGGCUUCGGCCGCUACCAGAUGAGCCCGCGUUAGAUUAGCUAGUUGGUGAGGUAAGAGCUCACCAAGGCGACGAUCUAUAGCUGGUCUGAGAGGACGAUCAGCCACAUCGGGACUGAGACACGGCCCGGACUCCUACGGGAGGCAGCAGUGGGGAAUAUUGGACAAUGGACGCAAGUCUGAUCCAGCAAUACCGCGUGUGUGAAGAAGGCCUGAGGGUUGUAAAGCACUUUCAGUGGGGAAGAUAAUGACGUUACCCACAGAAGAAGCACCGGCUAACUCCGUGCCAGCAGCCGCGGUAAUACGGAGGGUGCAAGCGUUAAUCGGAAUUACUAGGCGUAAAGCGCGCGUAGGCGGCUUGUUAAGUCGGACGUGAAAUCCCUGGGCUCAACCUAGGAACUGCAUCCGAUACUGGCAAGCUAGAGUUUUGGAGAGGUAAGUGGAAUUUCCGGUGUAGCGGUGAAAUGCAUAGAGAUCGGAAGGAACACCAGUGGCGAAGGCGACUUACUGGCCAAAAACUGACGCUG
rnacentral:rRNA from 1 species